CGGCUUAUUGACCGAGCGUGAGGUCUGUACUGUGAAAUAUCAGACCGAGGUUUUUUAGUAUGGACCGAGCGACGAAGGAGCGAGGUCCAUGCAAAAAACAGAGGUCUGAUAUUUCACAGUACAGACCGAACAAGCGAGGUCAAUAAUCGGUUUAUUAUAUGGCUGAACUGAGUCUGUGAGCAUAUGCUUUUCGCGCGAAAUUAAAUCGGCUAUCGUUAGUUUCACUGGUAACAAUAUACGGUAGGCAUGCAUGCUCAAUCAAAAACAAUUUGGUUGUUUGAAAUUUUUAUCUGUAAAUUUUAA